CCUUAGACGUUCUGGGCCGCACGCGCGCUACACUGACGGAGCCAGCAAGUCCAACCUUGGUCGAGAGGCCCGGGUAAUCUCGUGAAACUCCGUCGUGCUUGGGGAUAGAGCAUUGUAAUUUUUGCUCUUCAACGAGGAAUUCCUAGUAAGCGCAAGUGAUCAGCUUGCGUUGAUUACGUCCCUGCCCUUUGUACACACCGCCCGUCGCUACUACCGAUUGAAUGGCUUAGUGAGGCUUCAAGAUUGGCGCCGCGGGAGGGGCAACUUUCCCAUGGGGCCGAGAAUCUAGUACAAACUUGGUCAUUUAGAGGUCGUAAAAGUCGUAACAAG
rnacentral:rRNA from 1 species